UACAGAGGGUGCGAGCGUUAAUCGGAAUUACUGGGCGUAAAGGGAGCGUAGGCGGAUAGUUUAGUCAGAGGUGAAAGCCCAGGGCUCAACCCUGGAAUUGCCUUUGAUACUGGCUAUCUUGAGUGUGGGAGAGGUUAGCGGAACUCCGAGUGUAGAGGUGAAAUUCGUAGAUAUUCGGAAGAACACCAGUGGCGAAGGCGGCUAACUGGCCCAUUACUGACGCUGAGGCUCGAAAGCGUGGGGAGCAAACAGG
rnacentral:rRNA from 1 species